UACGUAGGGGGCAAGCGUUAUCCGGAUUUACUGGGUGUAAAGGGAGCGUAGACGGCAGGGCAAGUCUGGAGUGAAAGCCCGGGGCCCAACCCCGGGACUGCUUUGGAAACUGCCAUGCUGGAGUGCUGGAGAGGUAAGCGGAAUUCCAUGUGUAGCGGUGAAAUGCGUAGAUAUAUGGAGGAACACCGGUGGCGAAAGCGGCUCUCUGGCCUGUAACUGACACUGAGGCUCGAAAGCGUGGGGAGCAAACAGG
rnacentral:rRNA from 1 species